ensembl:snRNA U6 U6 spliceosomal RNA
UGAUUGGCAUGGCCCCUUUACAAGGAUGACGUGCAAAUUAGUGAAGCAUUCCAUAAUUAU